rnacentral:rRNA from 1 species
UACGAAGGGGGCUAGCGUUGCUCGGAAUCACUGGGCGUAAAGCGCACGUAGGCGGAUUCUUAAGUCGGUGGUGAAAUCCUGGAGCUCAACUCCAGAACUGCCUUUGAUACUGAAAGUCUUGAGUAUGGGAGAGGUGAGUGGAACUGCGAGUGUAGAGGUGAAAUUCGUAGAUAUUCGCAAGAACACCAGUGGCGAAGGCGGCUCACUGGCCCAUAACUGACGCUGAGGCACGAAAGCGUGGGGAGCAAACAGG